rnacentral:rRNA from 1 species
GACGAACGCUGGCGGCGUGCUUAACACAUGCAAGUCGAACGGAAAGGCCCUGCUUUUGUGGGGUGCUCGAGUGGCGAACGGGUGAGUAACACGUGAGUAACCUGCCCUUGACUUUGGGAUAACUUCAGGAAACUGGGGCUAAUCCGGAUAGGAGCUCCUGCUGCAUGGUGGGGGUUGGAAAGUUUCGGCGGUUGGGGAUGGACUCGCGGCUUAUCAGCUUGUUGGUGGGGUAGUGGCUUACCAAGGCUUUGACGGGUAGCCGGCCUGAGAGGGUGACCGGCCACAUUGGGACUGAGAUACGGACCAGACUCCUACGGGAGGCAGCAGUGGGGAAUAUUGCACAAUGGGCGGAAGCCUGAUGCAGCAACGCCGCGUGCGGGAUGACGGCCUUCGGGUUGUAAACCGCUUUCGCCUGUGACGAAGCGUGAGUGACGGUAAUGGGUAAAGAAGCACCGGCUAACUACGUG